AAGACUCUACUUUCAGGGAUCAUUUCUUUAGUCUGGAACUAGAGGAUUGUGUUUCUACAGAGGUUGGUCUGGCUGUCCAUGAUGAUGAAUGAAGAUGUUUCCUUCAGAGCAGG
rnacentral:snoRNA from 1 species